rnacentral:rRNA from 1 species
UACGGAGGGUGCAAGCGUUGUCCGGAAUCACUGGGCGUAAAGGGCGCGUAGGCGGCUCGGUAAGUAGGGGGUGAAAUCCUGCGGCUUAACCGCAGGGCUGCCUUCUAAACUGUCGAGCUCGAGCACGGUAGAGGCAGAUGGAAUUCCCGGUGUAGCGGUGGAAUGCGUAGAGAUCGGGAAGAACAUCAGUGGCGAAGGCGGUCUGCUGGGCCGUUGCUGACGCUGAGACGCGAAAGCGUGGGGAGCGAACAGG